rnacentral:rRNA from 1 species
GACGAACGCUGGCGGCGUGCCUAAUACAUGCAAGUUGAGCGCUGAAGAUUGGUACUUGUACCAACUGGAUGAGCAGCGAACGGGUGAGUAACGCGUGGGGAAUCUGCCUUUGAGCGGGGGACAACAUUUGGAAACGAAUGCUAAUACCGCAUAAAAACUUUAAACACAAGUUUUAAGUUUGAAAGAUGCAAUUGCAUCACUCAAAGAUGAUCCCGCGUUGUAUUAGCUAGUUGGUGAGGUAAAGGCUCACCAAGGCGAUGAUACAUAGCCGACCUGAGAGGGUGAUCGGCCACAUUGGGACUGAGACACGGCCCAAACUCCUACGGGAGGCAGCAGUAGGGAAUCUUCGGCAAUGGACGAAAGUCUGACCGAGCAACGCCGCGUGAGUGAAGAAGGUUUUCGGAUCGUAAAACUCUGUUGGUAGAGAAGAACGUUGGUGAGAGUGGAAAGCUCAUCAAGUGACGGUAACUACCCAGAAAGGGACGGCUAACUACGUG